UACGUAGGGUGCGAGCGUUUAAUCGGAAUUACUGGGCGUAAAGCGCGUGUAGGCGGCUUUGCAAGUCGGGUGUGAAAGCCCUCAGCUCAACUGAGGAAGUGCGCCCGAAACUGCAGAGCUUGAGUACCGGAGAGGGUGGCGGAAUUCCCCAAGUAGAGGUGAAAUUCGUAGAUAUGGGGGAGGAACACCGGUGGCGAAGGCGGCCACCUGGACGGUCACUGACGCUGAGACGCGAAAGCGUGGGGAGCAAACAGG
rnacentral:rRNA from 1 species